UACGUAGGGUGCGAGCGUUAAUCGGAAUUACUGGGCGUAAAGCGUGCGCAGGUGGUUCGUCAAGUCUGAUGUGAAAGCCCCGGGCUCAACCUGGGAAUGGCAUUGGAAACUAGCGGGCUUGAGUGUGGCAGAGGGGGGUGGAAUUCCACGUGUAGCAGUGAAAUGCGUAGAGAUGUGGAGGAACACCGAUGGCGAAGGCAGCCCCCUGGGCUAACACUGACGCUCAUGCACGAAAGCGUGGGGAGCAAACAGG
rnacentral:rRNA from 2 species